AUUGAACGCUGGCGGCAGGCCUAACACAUGCAAGUCGAGCGGAUGAAGGGAGCUUGCUCCUGGAUUCAGCGGCGGACGGGUGAGUAAUGCCUAGGAAUCUGCCUGGUAGUGGGGGAUAACGUCCGGAAACGGGCGCUAAUACCGCAUACGUCCUGAGGGAGAAAGGGGGGGAUCUUCGGACCUCCCGCUAUCAGAUGAUCCUAGGUCGGAUUAGCUAGUUGGUGGGGUAAAGGCCUACCAAGGCGACGAUCCGUAACUGGUCUGAGAGGAUGAUCAGUCACACUGGAACUGAGACACGGUCCAGACUCCUACGGGAGGCAGCAGUGGGGAAUAUUGGACAAUGGGCGAAAGCCUGAUCCAGCCAUGCCGCGUGUGUGAAGAAGGUCUUCGGAUUGUAAAGCACUUUAAGUUGGGAAGAAGGGCAGUAAGUUAAUACCUUGCUGUUUUGACGUUACCAACAGAAUAAGCACCGGCUAACUUCGUG
rnacentral:rRNA from 1 species